AGGAGAACAAAAAAUGUCGUUAGUUUUUGGAAUUAUGUUAUCAGUUCAUAUAGCUGAUGAUUUUUGUAGAUUUUUUUUUCUUCCUGUAACAAGACAUCUCGACAUCUUUAUGACAUAAUGGAUUAUUUGUUUAAAAACACGGAUUAAGAGAAAAUCAACUCUGAUUCAUUACAGGAUCAGCUGUGCAAGGUUCGAAAAAGGAAUUCAAGGCUCCGAUUCAAUCUGAGGAAAAUCCAAGGGGCCAAAAUGGAUGCGUCAUAUUUGAGGACAGAUCAUACAGACUAUCUCCGUUGGAUGCCGACAUUGAAGACCAUAGCCAUCAAAACUCGGUCCACCUUGAAUCACUGAGGGCACCUAUUCAAUGUGUGGAAAAUCCAAGGGGCCAAAAUGGAUGCGUCAUAUUUGAGGACAGAUCAUACAGACGACCUCUGUUGGAUGCCAACAUCGAGGACGAUGGCCAUCAAAACCCAGUCCAUCCUGAAUCACUGAGGGCUCCUAUUCAAUGUCAGGAGAAUCCAGAGGGCCAACAUGGAUGCGUCAUAUUUGAGAGCAGUUCACAGAGUCUACCAUAUGGCCAUCGAAGCUCAGAGCAUCAUCAAGAUAAUAUAUCACCAAGGGUAAUGCAGGAAGAUGUUUUGUGAAAGCUUACAAUGCACAUGUUAUAACAUAAAAACCCCAACCUCAUAAGCAUGGGAAUUAGGUAUGAGGGACCUGAAAUAUUUUAAAACUUUUAAAAUAAUUACAGAAAUGAAUCUGAGGUGCUUAACUUUUGUUUUUAAUGUUCUAGUACAGAUAGAAAGCAAGAACCAUAAAACUAUUACAAUUUGCAGAACAUAAACUGAGGCAAAUAACAGAGGUUGUCUAGCUAGAUUGUUGUAUGAAGAUUAAUCUUCAGCUUAUGUGCCUCAUUUUUCACCUGACUGCUCUAACCUUGCUAAUGUUGCAUAUCGACCUAACAUUAAGUUUACUGGCUAGCAAAGCUUAACGUGAGCUACACUGCCUGGCCAAUAAAAAGGUCAUAUACUCGAAUAUUUCACUGGACCACCUUUAGCUUUCAUUACGCCACACAUUCACUGUGACCUUCACCUGUUUCAACAACCUUAUAUAACAUCACAACAUUUAUUUCCAUCCAGAGUUGCACUAAUUUUUCACCGAGAUCUUGUCUUGAUGACUGGAGAGUCAAUCCUCUCUGUAAAGUCUUCUCCAGCACAUCCCAAAGAUUCUCAAUGGGGUUAAGGUUGGGACUCUGUGGUGGCCAAUUCAUGUGUGAAAAUGAUUCCUUAUGAUUCUUCUUCUCCAUGCUCUCACGGAAGGUGGUUUCAUUUCUCUGCUCUCCUCUCCUCUCCUUUUUUUCCUGCUUGUGCUCUUUGUUUCGUCUCGUCUGCCUAUACUUUUUUUUUUGAGAGACUCUCUCCGCAUUGAAUUUCUAAACUAAAAAAGCAUGGAUUUGAUAAACUGGUCUCCUAAUGAAAUUGACACAGUUUCUGGGUUCGGGGGAACCCACCUGUCCUGCUGGAACAUCUAUGGAGGACAUUGGAGAUAUCUAACUAUUCGGAACCAUGAUUACCAGACUUUUGCUGAUUGGAUUAGGCAUUGCCCUGGUAUAUCGAGGAAAUUAGACAACAGUGACAGCUGUUCAAAGCCCCACAAAGCUGCCCGAUAUGAUUGAGCAGUGGGCAAAGCUGUCGGCACUCGGACUGUGGACAUUCAGAACUUUAACCACAAAAUGGUUGUUAUCUCGGAGCAGCUUUCAGCCUUGCAAGGAAUAAGUAUUUAGGAGACCAAAUGGAAUUGAAUUGAACAGAAAUGGACAGAUAUGGAUGAGUGGUGUGGAUGAAAGUACAUUUUGCAUUUAAUUUGGAAAUCACGGUUCUAGAGUCUGGAGGAAGAGUGGAGAGGCACAGAAUCCAAGGUGCUUGAAGCCCAGUGUGAAGUUUCCACAGCCUGUGAUGAUUUGGGGUGCCAUGUCAUCUGCUGGUGUUGGUCCACUGUAUAUUAUCAAGUCCAAAGUCAACACAGCCAUCUACCAGGAGAUUUUAGAGCACUUCAUGCUUCCAUCUGCUGACGAGCUUUUUGGAGAUGCUGAUUUCCUUUUCCAGCAGGACUUAGCACCUACCCACAGUGCCAAAACUACUACCAAAUAGUUUGCUGACCAUGAUAUUACUGUGUUUGAUUGGCCAGCCAACUUGCCUGACCUGAACCCCAUAGAGAAUCUAUGGUGUAUUGUCAAGAGGAAGAUGAGAAACACCCGACCCAAAAAUACAGAUAUGCUGAAGGCCACUAUCAAAACAACCUGGGCUUCAAUAACACCUCAGCAGUGCCACAGACUGAUCACCUCCAUGCCACACCGCACUGAUACAGUAAUUCAUGGUAAAGGAGCCCCAACCAAGUAUUGAGUGUAUAAAUGAAUAUACUUUUCAUAAGUUGGACAUUUCUGUAUUGUAAAUCCUUUUUUUUUUAAUUGAUCUUAGGGAAUAUUCUAAUAAUUUGAGAUACUGGAUUUCUGAUUUUCAUGAGCUAUAAGCAAUAACCAUCAAAAUUAAAACAAAAAAGGCUUUAAAUAUUUCACUUUACAUGUAAUGAAUAUAGAAUAUAUGAAAGUUUACCUUUUUGAAUUAAAUUAUGAAAAAAGGAACUUUUUCAUGGUAUUCUAAUUUUUUUUAGAUGCACUAGUAUACUGGCUAGGUGUCUAAACAUUAAAUACAAAUCAGACACUCACAUGGACUUUACCUCACACAGGCUAGUUACAUCUGAGAAUAGCUGAACUCAAUCUGAGUUGUGUAUGAGACCAUUUUUUAUGUGUACUGUGUAUCUGUCAUUCUCAGAACUAUGUGGCAUGUCAGUGUUUAGUAUGUGUCAUAUCUCAUAUUGUGUUGCAGGUUUCAGUUCAGUGUCAGGAGGAUCAGCAUGUGCUGCAUGGAUUAAUCGAUCAAUUAAACCAUCUCAUACAACCUCUUGUGGAAGAAGACAGUGAGGAUGAGUGGAUCCAUGAAGAUUUUUUAAUUAUGUACAUAACCUGAUAUAUUAAAUGCUAUAUACUGAUUUUGUAUUAAAGUCUUUCAUUUAUGUGUUA